GACGAACGCUGGCGGCGUGCUUAACACAUGCAAGUCGAACGGAAAGGCCCUGCUUUUGUGGGGUGCUCGAGUGGCGAACGGGUGAGUAACACGUGAGUAACCUGCCCUUGACUUUGGGAUAACUUCAGGAAACUGGGGCUAAUACCGGAUAGGAGCUCCUGCUGCAUGGUGGGGGUUGGAAAGUUUCGGCGGUUGGGGAUGGACUCGCGGCUUAUCAGCUUGUUGGUGGGGUAGUGGCUUACCAAGGCUUUGACGGGUAGCCGGCCUGGGAGGGUGACCGGCCACAAUGGGACUAAGAGACGGCCCAGACUCCUACGGGAGGCAGCAGUGGGGAAUAUUGCACAGUGAGCGGAAGCCUGAUGCAGCAGCGCCGCGUGCGGGAUGACGGCCUUCGGGUUGUAAACCGCUUUCGCCUGUGACGAAGCGUGAGUGACGGUAAUGGGUAAAGAAGCACCGGCUAACUACGUG
rnacentral:rRNA from 1 species